rnacentral:misc_RNA from 1 species
CUGGAUAAUUUCUUUCUCAGCACUCAUAGGUUGUUCCAACAUUGCCUGGCCAACAUAGUCAUUCAGUAGAUAUAGCCCAUCUUGCAGUUUACCACUGCCAAUCAUUUUCCCUGUUGUCAAUUCCUGAAAAACACAGUGAGUAGGAAAAAAUUCAAUUUUACAGUUAAGAGCUUUUGCGAUAGAACUGACAGACAGAAGGUUAAUAGGAAAGCUAAGCACAUGUAAAACAGAACUGAGACUUAUAGUAUGAGCGUAUUUAACAGAACCUGUUCCAGAAAUAUUAGAUAAGGAUCUAUCCGCAAUACGGACUUUUUCUUUGCCUGAACAUGGAGAAUAGGAUAUUAAUUU